rnacentral:rRNA from 1 species
CAGACCACGGUAAUACAGAGGGUGCGAGCGUUAAUCGGAAUUACUGGGCGUAAAGCGCACGCAGGCGGUCUGUCAAGUCGGAUGUGAAAUCCCCGGGCUCAACCUGGGAACUGCAUUCGAAACUGGCAGGCUAGAGUCUUGUAGAGGGGGGUAGAAUUCCAGGUGUAGCGGUGAAAUGCGUAGAGAUCUGGAGGAAUACCGGUGGCGAAGGCGGCCCCCUGGACAAAGACUGACGCUCAGGUGCGAAAGCGUGGGGAGCAAACAGGAUUAGAUACCCCGGUAGUCCCUGUCUCUUAUACAC